rnacentral:rRNA from 1 species
CCCUUAGAUGUCCUGGGCCGCACGCGCGCUACACUGAUGCAUUCAACGAGUCUACCUUGGCCGAGAGGCCUGGGCAACCUUUUAAACGUGCAUCGUGAUAGGGAUAGAUUAUUGCAAUUAUUAAUCUUGAACGAGGAAUUCCUAGUAAACGCAAAUCAUCAAUUUGCAUUGAUUACGUCCCUGCACUUUGUACACACCGCCCGUCGCACCUACCGAUUGAAUGGUCCGGUGAGGACUCGGGAUUUUUACCAGUUUCCUUCAUUGGGAAUUGGUGAGGAGAACUUGCCCAAACCUUAUCAUUUAGAGGAAGGUGAAGUCGUAACA